rnacentral:rRNA from 1 species
UGGGGAAUUUUGCACAAUGGGGGAAACCCUGAUGCAGCGACGCCGCGUGAUUUAGAAGGCCUUCGGGUUGUAAAAAUCUUUUCUAUGGGAAGAAAAUGACAGUACCAUAGGAAUAAGGACCGGCUAAUUACGUGCCAGCAGCCGCGGUAAUACGUAAGGUCCGAGCGUUGUCCGGAAUCAUUGGGCGUAAAGGGUACGUAGGCGGGUAAGCAAGUUAGAAGUGAAAUCCUAUAGCUCAACUAUAGUAAGCUUUUAAAACUGCUCAUCUUGAGGUAUGGAAGGGAAAGUGGAAUUCCUAGUGUAGCGGUGAAAUGCGCAGAUAUUAGGGGGAAUGCCGGAGGCGAAGGCGAGUUUCUGGCCAUAACCUGACGCUGAGGUACGAAAGCGUGGGUAGCAAACAGG